GAUAAAUGCUCCAAAUGACAAGACAGUGCGGAGAAGAAGGGAUAAUUCGUUUCGGAUAUGUGUUUUAGAAUUAUACUGCAAAGUCACUUCUGUUCGGAAAUUUACCAUCUAGUAAGAGGAAAAAACGAGUUGUGAUGCUUCACCUCAACACUUGGAACGAAGUUUGCUGCCAGAACUCUGUUUGGACAAGAUUUGUUUGUUAUCAAUCACCUCAGUUUCUCAAACUCAAAUUUCGUCGAAUAUUUACACCUGUGUCAAAAUUAGCUCAAAUUGCAGUUCAAUAUGUUCAGAUUAUCUGGUUCAUGGCUUAUUCGUGCCGCAUCUGAGUGCACGCAGACACUGGCCACCACUGCCAGCUACUACCCGUCUAGUAGACAUCCCGAAUAUGUUUGAAAAUACAAGUUGACACUAUGGCUGAAAAUUGGCACUGGAGCAAAGACGACUUGCAGCAAGCCUGAUGAAAUUGUAUGGUUCAAUGACUUUUGUCCGUUCAAAGUUUAGAACGUGAUUUGCACAUGAGCCACCAAGCUGUUUAAUACUGUACCACAUCUACACGAAGUUUGUGAAUGCUAGAUCAGUAGCUAACAACUAUCGAGGCAAUGGAGGACGUCCAAGACCAGGAAGAUAUGAACAAAGCAUCGCUGUUGUACAGGAAGCAGUGUUGCAGAGUCCCUCAAAAUCAGCAUACAAUGCAGUUUCAAAACAAAUUCCUCAAAAACAGUGAAAUUUAACCUUGGGAUGGGACCAUGCCACAUCCAAGUUGUCCAAGCUUCAACAUUGGUGCAGAAAUGUAGGCAGGUGGAAUGCUGUCUUUUUUUUAACUGAACUGACGAAUAUGUGGCAAGAUAUUCUGAAUGUAACAGCAUUCAGCAAUUAAGCCACUUUUCACAUAAGGGGUUUGUGAACCAACAUAACACAAUUUUGUGGGCCACCACAAACCCACGCGCCAUUCUGAGUCAUGUCUCCCCCAAAGUGAAUGUAAGGUGUGUGCUGUGAUUGCAGCUGGACCGUACUUUUUUUUAUACGUGAACAGUAAUUUCUGACAUCUGUUUAGAGAUGCACACCAUUGAUGAACUACUACUGUUUCAAACAAGAUGCGAUGUUCUCACACUGGUGGAUUGGUCAUCAGUGACCACUGUGCUGGCCUCCACAAACUCCUGAGUUAACACCAUAUUAUUUCUGGUAAUGGGCAUAUUUAAAGUAAGAAAGUUCAUGACAUAAGUUGACAUAAAGGACCAUAUACUGGAUGUGGUAUCAUCCAUUCCGAGUGAAAUGUGUGUACAGAUUUUAAAUGUUAAUCGCUGAUUUUCAAGUGCUGAAUGUGAUGGUGAACUGACUGAAUUUGGUGGUACUUAGCACUUGCAGCAUAUCAUUUAACACAUUAUAUGUAUUUUGUUUAUAGAUGUAUGUAAAGUCAAUAAAUUGUUUCUGCCA